rnacentral:rRNA from 1 species
AGCGUACACGGUGGAUGCCCUGGCAGUCAGAGGCGAUGAAGGACGUGCUAAUCUGCGAAAAGCGUCGGUAAGGUGAUAUGAACCGUUAUAGCCGGCGAUGUCCGAAUGGGGAAACCCAGUGCAAUUCGUUGCACUAUCGUUUGAUGAAUACAUAGUCAAACGAGGCGAACCGGGGGAACUGAAACAUCUAAGUACCCCGAGGAAAAGAAAUCAACCGAGAUUCCCCCAGUAGCGGCGAGCGAACGGGGAGCAGCCCGGAGUCUGAAUCAGCUUGUGUGUUAGUGGAAGCGUCUGGAAAGUCGCAGGGUACAGGGUGAUACUCCCGUACACUAAAACACACAGGCUGUGAACUCGAAGAGUAGGGCGGGACACGUGGUAUCCUGUCUGAAUAUGGGGGGACCAUCCUCCAAGGCUAAAUACUCCUGACUGACCGAUAGUGAACCAGUACCGUGAGGGAAAGGCGAAAAGAACCCCGGCGAGGGGAGUGAAAAAGAACCUGAAACCGUGUACGUACAAGCAGUAGGAGCCUCUUUAUGGGGUGACUGCGUACCUUUUGUAUAAUGGGUCAGCGACUUAUAUUCUGUAGCAAGGUUAACCGUAUAGGGGAGCCGCAGGGAAACCGAGUCUUAACUGGGCGUUAAGUUGCAGGGUAUAGACCCGAAACCCGGUGAUCUAGCCAUGGGCAGGUUGAAGGUUGGGUAACACUAACUGGAGGACCGAACCGACUAAUGUUGAAAAAUUAGCGGAUGACUUGUGGCUGGGGGUGAAAGGCCAAUCAAACCGGGAGAUAGCUGGUUCUCCCCGAAAGCUAUUUAGGUAGCGCCUCGUGAAUUCAUCUUCGGGGGUAGAGCACUGUUUCGGCUAGGGGGUCAUCCCGACUUACCAACCCGAUGCAAACUACGAAUACCGAAGAAUGUUAUCACGGGAGACACACGGCGGGUGCUAACGUCCGUCGUGAAGAGGGAAACAACCCAGACCGCCAGCUAAGGUCCCAAAGUCAUGGUUAAGUGGGAAACGAUGUGGGAAGGCCCAGACAGCCAGGAUGUUGGCUUAGAAGCAGCCAUCAUUUAAAGAAAGCGUAAUAGCUCACUGGUCGAGUCGGCCUGCGCGGAAGAUGUAACGGGGCUAAACCAUGCACCGAAGCUGCGGCAGCGACACUAUGUGUUGUUGGGUAGGGGAGCGUUCUGUAAGCCGUUGAAGGUGGCCUGUGAGGGUUGCUGGAGGUAUCAGAAGUGCGAAUGCUGACAUAAGUAACGAUAAUGCGGGUGAAAAACCCGCACGCCGGAAGACCAAGGGUUCCUGUCCAACGUUAAUCGGGGCAGGGUGAGUCGACCCCUAAGGCGAGGCCGAAAGGCGUAGUCGAUGGGAAACAGGUUAAUAUUCCUGUACUCGGUGUUACUGCGAAGGGGGGACGGAGAAGGCUAUGUUGGCCGGGCGACGGUUGUCCCGGUUUAAGCAUGUAGGCGGAUGUUCCAGGUAAAUCCGGAACGUUAUUAACGCUGAGGUGUGAUGACGAGGCACUACGGUGCUGAAGUGACAAAUGCCCUGCUUCCAGGAAAAGCCUCUAAGCAUCAGGUAACAUCAAAUCGUACCCCAAACCGACACAGGUGGUCAGGUAGAGAAUACCAAGGCGCUUGAGAGAACUCGGGUGAAGGAACUAGGCAAAAUGGUGCCGUAACUUCGGGAGAAGGCACGCUGAUAUGUAGGUGAAGUGGUUUACCCAUGGAGCUGAAAUCAGUCGAAGAUACCAGCUGGCUGCAACUGUUUAUUAAAAACACAGCACUGUGCAAACACGAAAGUGGACGUAUACGGUGUGACGCCUGCCCGGUGCCGGAAGGUUAAUUGAUGGGGUUAUCCGUAAGGAGAAGCUCUUGAUCGAAGCCCCGGUAAACGGCGGCCGUAACUAUAACGGUCCUAAGGUAGCGAAAUUCCUUGUCGGGUAAGUUCCGACCUGCACGAAUGGCGUAAUGAUGGCCAGGCUGUCUCCACCCGAGACUCAGUGAAAUUGAACUCGCUGUGAAGAUGCAGUGUACCCGCGGCAAGACGGAAAGACCCCGUGAACCUUUACUAUAGCUUGACACUGAACACUGGUCCUUGAUGUGUAGGAUAGGUGGGAGGCUUUGAAGUGUGGACGCCAGUCUGCAUGGAGCCAUCCUUGAAAUACCACCCUUUAAUGGCUGGUGUUCUAACGUGGGCCCCUAAUCGGGGUUGCGGACAGUGUCUGGUGGGUAGUUUGACUGGGGCGGUCUCCUCCUAAAGAGUAACGGAGGAGCACGAAGGUCAGCUAAUCCUGGUCGGACAUCAGGAGGUUAGUGCAAUGGCAUAAGCUGGCUUGACUGCGAGCGUGACGGCGCGAGCAGGUGCGAAAGCAGGUCAUAGUGAUCCGGUGGUUCUGAAUGGAAGGGCCAUCGCUCAACGGAUAAAAGGUACUCCGGGGAUAACAGGCUGAUACCGCCCAAGAGUUCAUAUCGACGGCGGUGUUUGGCACCUCGAUGUCGGCUCAUCACAUCCUGGGGCUGAAGUAGGUCCCAAGGGUAUGGCUGUUCGCCAUUUAAAGUGGUACGCGAGCUGGGUUUAGAACGUCGUGAGACAGUUCGGUCCCUAUCUGCCGUGGGCGCUGGAGAAUUGAGGGGGGCUGCUCCUAGUACGAGAGGACCGGAGUGGACGCAUCACUGGUGUUCGGGUUGUCAUGCCAAUGGCAUUGCCCGGUAGCUAAAUGCGGAAGAGAUAAGUGCUGAAAGCAUCUAAGCACGAAACUUGCCCCGAGAUGAGUUCUCCCUGACUCCUUGA